ensembl:lncRNA
AAGACUGCUCAAAAUCUCCUCAGAGCUCAGAACUUCAGUUGGAAACCCUGGCCUGAGAAUUCCAACAGAUUUUUAUCUCUCAUUCUAAACUGGUUUAAGAUCAUUUGACAGAAUUUUUCUCUCCUGCCACUUAACUUAUCAGAAAACUAUUCCAAAUCCUAUUCAAUAAUAUUCCCAAUAAUCUACAUGUAAAAAUAAAAUUUAAAUCACAUUUUAAAAAAGAAUUAUUGAGAAGGGAAGAAUGUCUUUGCCAGGAACACCCCAUGGUCAGCAUGGUCCAUAGCAUCAUGAAGAGCUGGAUAUGACUUAAUGACUGAACAAAGGCUGAAUAGUUGCAUUGAUCCUAUGGAUCCUGGUAUCACAUUGAGCUGUGUUAGGAAACCUAUGGAAUUCAUGCAGGAGGGAGCUGUUUCCUUUCACCUCUCCACAAGAGACUGAGAACAUUUCUCACAUCCACCCCUCUGUACAGCAGCCCAAUGGAAGAGCUUCCCUCAUCCACUGUCUGGGGGUGUGAAGGUAUAAAAUGUGAAGUAGAUAUAUACUACUGCUUAUUAUACAUGGCAAGUUGUAUGGCAAGAUUUUUGUGUGUAGAGAAACCACAUGAAACCACUAACAAAUGUUGGCUCUCUUGUCCGGAGAGUAUUGAGUGUGCAAAGGUAGAGUGUUACUAUGCUGAGGAGCACAACAAUAGCUACCACAGUUUAUGUGCUGCUGGAUGGACUUGCAAAACCUUCCUAUUGAAUAUUAAUGGUUGCGAAGAAAAUGGAUACCAGCAUGGAGCUAUCUGUGAAGAUGGAAUUAAUGAAUACAGGUGUGGGUGUCUUCAAGGAGGUGAUGGAUUCUUCUGCGGAAUAAAGACAAAUAUGUGUGUGUCUGAGACCUGUAAAAAUGGAUCUACCUACAUGUGUUUAAAUGACCAUGUCUUCUGGCAGUGUGACACUGGAUUUAUAGGAGGAGCCUCCUGUUGUUCAUUUAAUAUAAAUGGGAAUACUUGUGAACUCAUUUGAUAAAAACAACAUCUACAUUCUAUUCCAGGACAAAUGUGGAAGAAUAAGGGAUUUGUCACAACAUCUGGAAAAAAGGAUAGCAUAUGAGAACCAACUCUUAGAAGAAGUGAACUUGCCAAAGGAAGUGGUGGUGAUUCAUUACAAGGCUCACUUCUCUGGCAAGGAUGAGGUAUUCCUAGGAAAUCACAGGGUUGAUGUAACAGCAAGAUUCGCUGCAAGAUUUGGUCCUAUCUAUGUUCUGAAUUUCUCUCUGGUGGAUAAGCAUGAUCUCAAGCAAACAUACUUCCAAGAGGAGAUUCGGGCAUGGCAAGAACAUCUAGGGGCCAGAUUAGUCAAAGGAAUCUGUUUAUCACAAAGAGGGAAAGUCCAUCUUGCCCAAAAGGCUGUACUAACAUCUAUGCAAUGUAAUUCAUUCCAGAGGUCAUUACAGAGUGCAAUCCAUGCUAGAUGAGGUCUGCCUGUUUUGGGAAGGUCCAGGGAUAUCAAAUAUAUAACUAUAUAUACAUAUAUAUAUAUAUACAUAUAUAUAUAUAUAUAUAUAUAUAAGAUAUAUAACAAAUGUUAUAAGAGUGUGUCAGGCAUGUGACAUCUGUAGAAAGUUUAAUAAAGGUCAUUUCAAAAGCA